rnacentral:rRNA from 1 species
GACGAACGCUGGCGGCGUGCUUAACACAUGCAAGUCGAACGGUAAGGCCCUUCGGGGUACACGAGUGGCGAGCGGGUGAGUAACACGUGGGUGAUCUGCCCUGCACUUCGGGAUAAGCCUGGGAAACUGGGUCUAAUACCGGAUAGGACCACUGCCUGCAUGGGUGGGGGUGGAAAGCUUUUGCGGUGUGGGAUGGGCCCGCGGCCGAUCAGCUUGUUGGGGGGGUGAUGGCCUACCAAGGCGACGACGGGUAGCCGGCCUGAGAGGGUGACCGGCCACACUGGGACUGAGAUACGGCCCAGACUCCUACGGGAGGCAGCAGUGGGGAAUAUUGCACAAUGGGCGCAAGCCUGAUGCAGCGACGCCGCGUGAGGGAUGACGGCCUUCGGGUUGUAAACCUCUUUCAGCACCGACGAAGCGCAAGUGACGGUAGGUGCAGAAGAAGGACCGGCCAACUACGUGCCAGCCGCCGCCGUAA